CCUGCUGCAACGUGAACGUGCGGUCUGCUGCAAACGGGAGCGAGUUUAUUGCUUCUGGACGGAAAAUGUUUGUGCAAGCUUGUGAUUUCAGCGAUUCUACAUCCAGAACAAAUUGUUUAAACACAGUCACAACAACAACAACUAUAUAUUGUGUUUGUUCAAAUGUGUAUAAAUGAGCUAGUUACUUACUCUUAUUAGGACGGAAGUAUUGUAUGUACUCUUACUAUAUUGUGAUUAUCGAACUGUGUACAUGGACAUAUUUUAGUAAACGUUGCUCUGAAGUUAUUGUAUAUUUUAUCUGCUCUUACUGCAUUGUGAAAUAUGUAUAUUUUGUGAGAGCUGUAAGUCGCCCUGAGUGAGGGCGUCUGCUAAGAAAAUGAAUAAGAAAAAGAGGAAGAAAACAAAACGCAACGGAAUUAUUUCUUAAAUCGUGAAGUCACGCCCGUGACGAGGACAAUAGAAACAGGUCAUCUUAACGAAGAUUAUGGAUCCAACAAUGUACAGGGAAAUAUUACUGUACAAGACAAUGGGAAAAUACCCCGAGAAGGCCAGGAAGGGGGGAAAAUUCAUCAUCCGGAGGCGUGCAGGACAAUAUGUGGUUCAAGAUGGAGAGCUCUAUUAUAUAUGUAAGAAGGGUACAGAGCCAUCAAUGAAGGUGAAGGUGGUCAAAGGCACUGAAGAGGCAGACAGUCUCUUCCUGGAAUUUCAUGCAAGUGCUAUAGGGGCACACUGUGGCCAACACAGAACCAGAGAGGCAAUUUCCUCCAGAUAUUACUGGCCUGGAAUGAGUUCCGAUAUUGAUAAUUGGGUGGGUGCUUUUUGAGUGCAGUACAUGACCUACACCAGUAUCCAAUACAAUAACUAGAGAGAUCAAUCGGUUUUUGGUUAUAAAAAUUAAUAAAUGAAAAGGAAGUUUAAACAACAGCUCAACUGAGUUUUCUUAACAUUGAAAAAUCUUACACUGUGUUAUAAACUUUAAAAACAUUUUUAUGCAAGUGCCAUCCUGUUAGAGGCUAUGAGACUGACACCAGCUGUUUGCUAUAUACCUGGUAACAUUUCAUUAAAUUAACAAAAAUAUUUUCCAAUAAUUCACAGUUUGGUAACAUAAUAUGAAAGCGACAUGUCGUGGAAUUCUAAAUAAAAGGAAGAGAGACUGCGAGUUCCAAACACACAGGCCUUUAUUUCUUAAGUUUGCAAACUGAAAACACUCUCAACACACAGGGUGCUAGAUAAUCAUCGAGCAGUGUUUCAACAUACAGAGUUAGAUCAGUUUCUUAUAUACCUUAAAACUGUCAGCAAGGCAGAGGGUUAGCCAAUGAUGAUUCAGAUAUUAGCAUAUAAGGAAAAACAACUUAUAACUGUGCAUACCUGGCAUAUAGCUAAGCAAACAGAUAACAGGAUGGGUGGUUUGGGUGUACGUACAAAGAAACAAGUCUGGCUCAUCCUGUUAUCUUCACAGCCACAGCUGCAGUGUAGGCAUCUUGCGGUUCCUUGUAACAAACUUUAUCUUAGGCAAAGCAUACAAGGUUAUGCGAGCAAGGUUAUAGGAGUACAAAAUGCCAGUACAUUAUGUCGAGCCAAUUCUAUUUUUCUGUAACAUAUUCUAUUAAAAGCUGCCGUCCCGAGAGCCAGAGGGGGUGGAGCUGCCGUCCCGAGAGCCAGAGGGGGUGGAGCUGCCGUCCCGAUAGCCAAAGGGGGUGGAGCUGCUGUCCCAAGAGCCAGAGGGGGUGGAGCUGCAGUCCCGAGAGCCAGAGGGGGUGGAGCUGCCGCCGCCCGAGCAAGAGGGGGAAGAGGUGAAGAGCCCGCCGGCACCACAGCCCCGACCACCACCCCUGCGGUCCAGUCCGGCACCGCCGCUGUGUGCGGUCCCUCGCCCCUUGCUCCUGGACACCCUUCCGGUUUGCUUGGACCUCCCUUCGCUAGACCUGGAGCCCAGGAGUCUGCAGAACCGGUCACAGUUCUCCACCUGGUUCCAUGCUCCGCUCCUCCCAAGCACCAAGACGUCGCUGCGCAGCUCCCAGACGGCGCUUGAGCUCCCCCUGGUCACUACUUUGCUCCCCCUGGGUGAUUGGACGUCCCCCUGACAAACCGGUGGGGUCCCUCGUCACAGGUGCGCGGUCCCUACCUGGCGGGGCCAGAACAUGGACCGGCCCACCCUCAAGUCCGCCCAUGGAAGAGGGCGAAAAGAGACAUUGAUGGACUCGAGGGUGGGUGGUUGUGUUUUAGGGGAGGAGGUGGCCGACGAAUGGCCGGUGUCUUGAAAAGACAAGGGGGGGGGAUAUGUGAGACAGCAGGGAGGGGGUUAAAGCCUCCCUGAAGAAAAACAUGUGCGGAAUGCACAUUUGUUUAGUUUAUUUGUUUUUGUUUAUUGUUUAAUUGAUUUGCUUUAUCGUUGAAUUUAAUUUGUUAAUUGUUUUAUUAUUAAUUAUCCCCUGCACCUGGUAAAUAUUGUCAAAUUAGGACCAGGUGCAGGGUAUUUAAGGGAGGCAGUUAGUCUGCUCAUGGCUGCUGAAUAGAAGGAGGCAGAAGAGGUGCUCUGCUUCCGAGCAGUCAGGAGGAAACGUAAGCGGUGUAAACCUGUGUGAUAUGGUCUGUUUGUGGUGUUGUGUUUGGUGGGGUGUCAGGGUGUUCCCGAAAGUUUAGUCAGUGCUCAGAAAGAGCUAGGUGUUUAUUUUGUUUUGUUUGUAUUAAAAAUAGCGCGUCAGCGCGGGAAAAAAAAUCCAUUCCUGUGUCUUGGGUCGUGGUU